rnacentral:rRNA from 1 species
AUUGAACGCUGGCGGCAGGCCUAACACAUGCAAGUCGAACGAGUGGCGGACGGGUGAGUAAUGUCUGGGAAACUGCCUGAUGGAGGGGGAUAACUACUGGAAACGGUAGCUAAUACCGCAUACCAUCGGAUGUGCCCAGAUGGGAUUAGCUAGUAGGGGGGGUAAAGGCUCACCUAGGCGACGCUCCCUAGCUGGUCUGAGAGGAUGACUAGCCACUCUGGCAAUGAGACACGGUCCAGACGCCUACGGUAGGCAGCAUUGGGGAUUAUUGCACAGUGGGCGCAAGCCUGAUGCAGCCAGGCCGCGUGUAUGAAGAAGAGUUUCGGGUUGUAAAGUACUUUCAUCGGGGAGGCGUUACCCGCUGAAGAAGCACCGGCUAACUCCGUGCCAGCAGCCGCGGUAAUAC